GUGUCAGCAGCCGCGGUAAUACGGAGGGUGCAAGCGUUAUCCGGAUUCACUGGGUUUAAAGGGUGCGUAGGAGGGCAGGUAAGUCAGUGGUGAAAUCUCCGAGCUUAACUUGGAAACUGCCAUUGAUACUAUUGAUCUUGAAUUUUGUUGAGGUGGGCGGAAUAUGUCAUGUAGCGGUGAAAUGCAUAGAUAUGACAUAGAACACCAAUUGCGAAGGCAGCUCACUAAGCAAACAUUGACGCUGAGGCACGAAAGCGUGGGGAUCAAACAGGAUUAGAUACCCUGGUAGUCCACGCCCUAAACGAUGAUUACUCGACAUACGCGAUACACUGUGUGUGUCUGAGCGAAAGCAUUAAGUAAUCCACCUGGGAAGUACGACCGCAAGGUUGAAACUCAAAGGAAUUGACGG
rnacentral:rRNA from 1 species